GUUGUCUCCUGGGGCACGUGGUGGCUUCACCGACUGUGGAGCAGCUGUCCGAUCGAUAGUCCUGGACUCCAGCUGGUCUCAGACUGUCCCCGAGAGAAGGGCCACAAGUGGCGUCAAAGGACGCAGACGGGGCUUCGAGGUCCACAGGGGGCUACAGCCCCCCAGCCGCGGCCUCUUUCUACUCUGAACGUCCAGCUGUAGCACAGCAGAGCGGCACCGGCCCCGAGGCUCCCGCCAGGCCCUGGGUCUGGCCCUGGCGCCGCAGCUCACCUGCUCUCUGGUGCUCGUCAUCUGGAGGCGGGUGCAGAGGUCGUCCAGCCGUUCCCGCUGCUCGUGCCGCCCCAGGCGCUCCAGGUACUCCCUCAGCAUCUGGAUGAUCUGGAACAAGGGGCCGGGCUGAGUUGCUGGGGGUCUCGCUAGGUGGCAGAGAGAGAGAGCUGCCGCCGCCGCCGCCGCGAAGCCCAGUGGAGCGGUGGCCGGAUGGGGUCGGUGUGAAGCAACCCAGGCGCCUGGGUGCGCCCGGGCAGGCGUGUCUGUCUGUGGUCCGGGCGGCACCUGUCCGGCGCUUGUUUGUGCCGUUGGCCCAGCGUGAAGGGCACUCACCUGCUUCACCUCCAGCCGCACAGCCUCCAGGCACUGGGAGUGGCCCUCCUGCAGGAUGUUCAGCUUUGACUUGGCCAGGUGCAGGGGCGUGCGGCCAGCUCGGUCCAAAGCAUCCACACGGGCCCCUGCGGGAGCAGGCGGAGUCAAGUGCCAUAGUGGGAAUUAAGCCAGUAGAAGAUGCUGAACAUCCCCCUCCCUGAGAGUCUCUAUGCCCUCUCAAAGGAGGCAAAGUGCAGAGCUGUGCGGCCCUUGUCAUCAGCUGCACAGGGAUCCGUGCCAUCUUCCAGCAGCUGCUGCACUGACAUCGCCAAGACAGAGGGAGGGAGGGCGACAGAGAGGUAGUGUUAGUUAUGCUGCAGCCCCUGGGGGUGAACGCGGAUGCUCAGGGGACCCUGCAGGUAAGGCACUGAUAAGCCAUGGGAGAGCGAGCUCUUCCUGGAUGCCGGCCUUACAGGGAAUGUCAUGACAAGGGACUUACUCUCCUGAGGGCACAACUGGGAAUCCCCGAUUCGGGCUGCUCAAACUACGUCUAGGGUUAGAACAUCACAGAAGGAUCUUGGCCCUCAGCGUCAGGAGUUCUCGAAUCACAGAAAUCCCCGGCACACAGACUUUGGCCCCACAUCCAUUUGGAUACACACCCUUUCCAGUUGGACACAGCAGCCCAAGCUGCGGGGCAGCGCUCACUUUGCUCCUGGGAGGUGGCCUUUUAGAGUGAGCGGCUAGAGCACAGGUUUGGAGCCACAAAGACUAAGUCCCAGGCUAAGCUGGGUAACGAAGAAAGGAGUACGUUGCCAACGGCACGGGGCAGUGGAAAGAGCGGGGCUCAGAGCAGGAAGGCCUGAAUCUGGGUCCCAAUUCACCGGCAAAUGGGAAUAAUCUCCGCCCUGCCAAUCUCCAGAGCUGCUGUAAUAACAAUAAUGGAUAUGAAAUUUCUUCGUUGCAAAGUAUGGAGCCAUUAUAAAAUGUGAGGCAUUAUGUGACACGUGUGUGCCCAGCUGAAAUGGAGAAAUUGCUGCCAAACAUCAUUUUAGAGCAACUGACAUUUUUAGUCUCCGCCAGCGAACCUCUCAAGGACUCCAGACGAAGCCCGGAAUCUCCUCCUCCUCCUUCACUUCAAGCUCAGGGAGCCACGCCAUCAUCCGCGGGUCCUCAGUGCCCAGUUCACCUCGCCUGCUCUGACAUUAAAACGCCGCGCUGGUUUUGGAUAUCGUCCCCCUACGCC